rnacentral:rRNA from 1 species
AUUGAACGCUGGCGGCAUGCUUUACACAUGCAAGUCGAACGGUAGCAGGCCUUCGGGCGCUGACGAGUGGCGAACGGGUGAGUAAUGCAUCGGAACGUGCCCAGUCGUGGGGGAUAACGCAGCGAAAGCUGUGCUAAUACCGCAUACGAUCUGUGGAUGAAAGCGGGGGACCUUCGGGCCUCGCGCGAUUGGAGCGGCCGAUGUCAGAUUAGGUAGUUGGUGGGGUAAAGGCUCACCAAGCCAACGAUCUGUAGCUGGUCUGAGAGGACGACCAGCAACACUGGGACUGAGACACGGCCCAGACUCCGACGGGAGGCAGCAGGGGGGAAUUUUGGACAAUGGGCGCAAGCCUGAUCCAGCAAUGCCGCGUGCAGGAAGAAGGCCUUCGGGUUGUAAACUGCUUUUGUACGGAACGAAACGGUCCUGGUUAAUACCUGGGGCUAAUGACGGUACCGUAAGAAUAAGCACCGGCUAACUACGUGCCAGCCGCCGCGGUAACAC